UACGGGGGGGGCAAGCGUUGUUCGGAAUUACUGGGCGUAAAGGGCUCGUAGGCGGCCAACUAAGUCGGAUGUGAAAUCCCUCGGCUUAACCGGGGAACUGCGUCUGAUACUGGAUGGCUUGAGUUUGGGAGAGGGAUGCGGAAUUCCAGGUGUAGCGGUGAAAUGCGUAGAUAUCUGGAGGAACACCGGUGGCGAAGGCGGCAUCCUGGACCAACACUGACGCUGAGGAGCGAAAGCCAGGGGAGCAAAACGGGG
rnacentral:rRNA from 1 species